UUGUCUACAUAACCCAUAAUACAGGUGUUGUGUCCACAUAACCCGUAAUACAGGUGUUUUGUCCACAGAACCCGUAAUACAGGUGUUGUGUCCACAGAACCCAUAAUACAGGUGUUUUGUCCACAGAACCCGUAAUACAGGUGUUGUGUCCACAGAACCCGUAAUACAGGUGUUGUGUCCACAGAACCCGUAAUACAGGUGUUUUGUCCACAGAACCCGUAAUACAGGUGUUUUGUCCACAUAACCCGUAAUACAGGUGUUUUGUCCACAUAACCCGUAAUACAGGUGUUGUGUCCACAUAACCCGUAAUACAGGUGUUGUGUCCACAUAACCAGUAAUACAGGUGUUGUGUCUACAUAACCCGUAAUACAGGUGUUUUGUCCACAGAACCCGUAAUACAGGUGUUGUGUCCACAUAACCCGUAAUACAGGUGUUGUGCCCACAUAACCCGUAAUACAGGUGUUGUGUCCACAUAACCCGUAAUACAGGUGUUGUGUCCACAUAACCCGUAAUACAGGUGUUGUGCCCACAUAACCCGUAAUACAGGUGUUGUGUCCACGGAACUCGUAAUACAGGUGUUUUGUUCACGUAACCCGUAAUACAGGUGUUGUGUCCACAUAACCCGUAAUACAGGUGUUGUGUCCACAUAACCCGUAAUACAGGUGUUGUGUUCACAUAACCCGUAAUGCAGGUGUUGUGUCCACAUAACCCGUAAUGCAGGUGUUGUGUCCACGGAACUCGUAAUACAGGUGUUUUGUUCACAUAACCCGUAAUACAGGUGUUUUGUUCACAUAACCCGUAAUACAGGUGUUGUGUCCACAUAACCAGUAAUACAGGUGUUGUGUCCACAUAACCCGUAAUGCAGGUGUUGUGUCCACAUAACCCGUAAUACAGGUGUUGUGUCCACAUAACCCGUAAUGCAGGUGUUGUGUCCACAUAACCCGUAAUGCAGGUGUUGUUUCCACAUAACCCGUAAUACAGGUGUUGUGUCCUCAUAACCCGUAAUACAGGUGUUGUGUCUACAUAACCCGUAAUACAGGUGUUGUGUCCACAUAACCCGUAAUGCAGGUGUUGUGUCCACGGAACUCGUAAUACAGGUGUUUUGUUCACGUAACCCGUAAUACAGGUGUUGUGUCCACAUAACCCGUAAUACAGGUGUUGUGUUCACAUAACCCGUAAUGCAGGUGUUGUGUCCACCUAACCCGUAAUGCAGGUGUUGUGUCCACGGAACUCGUAAUACAGGUGUUUUGUUCACAUAACCCGUAAUACAGGUGUUUUGUUCACAUAACCCGUAAUACAGGUGUUGUGUCCACAUAACCAGUAAUACAGGUGUUGUGUCCACAUAACCCGUAAUACAGGUGUUUUGUUGACAUAACCCGUAAUACAGGUGUUUUGUCCACAGAACCCGUAAUACAGGUGUUGUGUCCACAUAACCCGUAAUACAGGUGUUGUGUCCAAAUAACCCGUAAUACAGGUGUUGUGUCCACAUAACCCGUAAUACAGGUGUUGUGUCCACGGAACUCGUAAUACAGGUGUUUUGUUCACAUAACCCGUAAUACAGGUGUUGUGUCCACAUUACCCGAGAAAGUUUGGUCGAGUGCUUCUAAAAUAGAUCACAGAUAAUUAUGAAUUACUUCACCUAGUUAUUGACCAGUGCCCAGUUGUUCAAAAGGUGAUUAGGCUAAUCAUAUUUUAACAACUUUUUUUUCAAAUCGUGAUAUAAUAAUUUCUGACAGAACUAACUUGACAAAACUUUAUGAAAAUCUUUAAUUCUUAAUUCUCUUCCACCUGGCCUAAUCUAAAGACGUUGUACUCAUAGGUUUUGUAACAAAUGAGAAUGAAAUGGUUUUGUAACAAAUGAGAAUGACAUUUUCAGUAAUCAUGUGAUUUAGCUCAUCACCUUUUGAACAACUGGACCGAGAUGGGUAAACUAUCUUUUGCGCAUUUGAACCAUGAAAAUUAUAACUUUGAAUGUUAGACUAUUCGGUGUAUGGAAUGCAUGUUAAGGUAUUCAUUUACAUGUAUGAUUAUUAAAACUCAAAACAGUUACUUUAUGAUUAAACUAUCACAGCCUUUUGAUUUCGGUUAAUACAUGGUUUUGAUAAUCUUAAAAGUAUCGUCGGACUUCGUCCUAGCUCUUGGUAUUUGCCUUAUCAGCAGUCUAUAAUUGUAUAUUAAUUGAUAUCUGAAUAAUCAUGUUGACUUUUACGAAUUACGGAUAUCAUCAAUAUUUUAGUUAUCCAUGUUAUAACUCCCUUAAUUACAAGGUAAAAGUACUUAGGUAGUGGCCAAUAUUUGGGAGUAAAAUCUCCUUGAUUUGUAAGAUAAAUCUGCUAUGUAACGUUUCACAAUAAGAUUCAUUUGAUGGUCGGAUCAGUUUAUCAGAAUGUGUCUAAUGUAUCAUGAUCAAUUCUAAAACGCAUCUUUAUAUAAACUUAUCAUAGCAUUUGUUAAUAAUUGACAAUAUUAAAUCUUUCUGAAGCAGUGAUAUAGACAAGAGAUAUAUAGAAAAGUGUAACGAUGAUAUUGCAGUGUUCAAACUACAAAGGUUUGGCAUUACGUCCGACAUUACGUCUGUCAUUACGCCUCCAGAAACACUUGAUGGAUCCAUCUCAAAAGAUGUUGUCUACCUACUUUGUCCCUUUAUCUUACAUAUAGUUUUGAUACUGAUCAGGAGAACUAGACUGCCUUGACAGUAAUUAUUUGUUAUUGCUAUCGGUCAAAAAGCCUUGAUAGAGCUACGUGUUGUAUAAUGGAAAUGCUUGCUCUUAUAAAGGGAAAUACGGUUAAAUGAUAAAACCUUCCAUGUUAAGUGUGUGUAUGUUCCACUUGUUAUGCUUUUGAUGUAUUAAAGAUAAGAGUACCGAA